GGGUCAGGAAACUGACCCCAAACAUAAGGCGGGGUAACCCGUCUAAGCUAAACGGAAGACAGAAA
rnacentral:ncRNA from 1 species